GCCCCUGUGGCGGAAUUGGUAGACGCGCCUGACUCAAAAUCAGGUAUCUUCACAGAUGUGCUGGUUCGAGUCCGGCCAGGGGCACCA
rnacentral:tRNA from 1 species